rnacentral:piRNA from 1 species
UGGCUAAAGUGAAUAUAUGACAGAUAGGC